GUAUUAUUCCUUUGGACUGCACAAUAGUUGGUUGAGUGACUUUGGGCCAUUAACCAAGAGAAUCUUAUUUUUAUUCCUACAAUAGGCAUUGAGACAGCUACAACUGCACAACUAGCAGAUCGGUGACUUCUUUCAGUAGGCAUGGUGAGUUUUACAGGUGCAAAAAAGAACAAGUGGUGGAUAAGUGACUGUAUAAAUCAAAAAGAGAGGUAUGGAAGGAGAUUUCCACUCCUGCACGGCUGGGAGAAUAGUUACUGGGUUAAUCAACAAAAUAAGUUUAAUGGGCAUAGUGAGUUCAAAAUGUGCAAAAAUAACAAGUGGUAGAUAAGUGAGUGAGUAAAUCCACAGAAGAAGGUGAAUGGUACUCUACAAUACUUAUGAAAGUAGGUUUGGAGAUAUCUAUUCCUGCAUGACUGGAAGAUCACUGACUGCAUUAAUCAAAAAAGAAGAUGAAUUCUGCUCUUGCAAUUCUCACAAUAAUCAGCAGCGUGACUUUGUACCAAUAACCAAGAUAUUCUUCUAUCUUUUAGUGCAGUAUGCAUGGUGAAUUCUAGAUGUUCAAAAAAAGGAAUGGUUGAUAUGUGACCAAGAAAACCAACUGGAGAAUUUUUUUUGUAUUUUACAAUACUCAUGAAAGAUCAGUGAUCACAAGGAAGAGGCAUGGUGAAUUCUACAAUUGCAAAAACCAUGAAUGGUGGAUAAGUGUCUGAAUAAAUCAGCAGGGGAAGGUGAGGAGUACUCUUCAAUAUGCAUGAAAGAUCAAAGUUUGCACCAUUGUUUGUUGAGUGACUUUGGGCCAAGAACCAAAAGAUUGUUACUUCUAUUGCUGCAAUAGGUAUGGUGAUUUCUAUUCCUGCAUAGCUGGUAGAUCAGUUAUUGUAAUAAUCAACAAAAGAAAGUGUGUCCUCCUCUUGCAAUAAAUACGAUAAUCAGCAGAGUUACUUUGGACCAAUAAUGAGAAAAGAGUGACUUCUGUACCUGCAAAAAUCAUUACUGGUGGAUAAGUGACUUAGUAAAGUAACAGGAGAAAGUGAGUAGCAAUC